CCUACGGGAGGCAGCAGUGAGGAAUAUUGGUCAAUGGGCGCGAUCCUGAACCAGCCAAGUCGCGUUAGGGAAGACGGUCCUAUGGAUUGUAAACCUCUUUUGUCGGGGAUCAAAAGACGCCACGCGUGGCGUUCCGAGUGUACCCGAAGAAAAAGCAUCGGCUAACUCCGUGCCCGCAGCCGCGGUAAUACGGAGGAUGCGAGCGUUAUCCGGAUUUAUUGGGUUUAAAGGGUGCGAAGGCGGAAGAUCAAGUCAGCGGUAAAAUUGAGAGGCUCAACCUCUUCGAGCCGUUGAAACUGGUUGUCUUGAGUUAGAGAGAAGGAUGCGGAAUGCGUGGUGUAGCGGUGAAAUGCAUAGAUAUCACGCAGAACUCCGAUUGCGAAGGCAGCAUACCGGCGCUCAACUGACGCUGAUGCACGAAAGUGUGGGUAUCGAACAGGAUUAGAUACCCGUGUAGUC
rnacentral:rRNA from 1 species